rnacentral:rRNA from 1 species
UACGGGGGGGGCAAGCGUUGUUCGGAAUUACUGGGCGUAAAGGGCUCGUAGGCGGCCAACUAAGUCAGACGUGAAAUCCCUCGGCUUAACCGGGGAACUGCAUCUGAUACUGGAUGGCUUGAGUUCGGGAGAGGGAUGCGGAAUUCCAGGUGUAGCGGUGAAAUGCGUAGAUAUCAGGAGGAACACCGGUGGCGAAGGCGGGUCUCUGGGCCGAUACUGACGCUGAGGAGCGAAAGCGUGGGGAGCGAACAGG